CUACAGCUCUGAACUUUGUGUCUACCUCUGUACACCACCACUUAAAGGAGAGGGAGCUACAGGACGAGAUACUGAGGAGAAAAAACAUUCAUUUGUGAAAUGGUUGGGGAAUAAUCCAAGGAAGAACCUAAUCAAUGUUGGAGUCAUCAGGGACCAUUUAUUCUGUAACCUGGGAGUCAAGUGAAGUUUGGAGGAGUGAGGGAUCUCCAAAUUAAGAAAGUUUCCAGGUGUUAGGAUUUUUGGCAGUUUCAGAUGAAGGAUUCCAUCAGGACACAACAUUACAUUUAGAUGCCAGGUCUCCACAAUCCUUUUGCUUUGAUACUUUUCUUAUGAUUGGACCAGGAUUAUGUGUUUUUGGAGAAAUGCCAAAGAGCACCAUGGACCCUCCCAUGAGGAACAUGAGCUGCCAUUUUUAAGACCACUGCUGAACUAAAGAGGGAGGAAUCAGGCCGGG